GGCCGGCGACCCCGCCUUAUCCACUGGAGCAACCUGCUCCGUGCCUCCUGCGUCCAGGGAGCCGAGCCAGCACAGCAGCAGGCCAUGGCUCCGUCCACCUCCACCACGUCGCCGCUGUCCCGCCUGCUCCUCAGCCUCCCGAAGCCCGGCGCCGCUAGGCACCCUCGCCCGGCGCCGUGCCCGGACGCCGCGUGCAGCGCCAAGAGCCCCGGCGCCGGCCUCGUCCUCCGCCGGCGCGAGGCCGCGGCGGCCGUUCUGUCCGCCGCCGUGCUCUCCCGCUUCCUCCUCCUCCCCGCGGCGGCGGAGGCCGCGGACAGCGGCGGGGAGUGCCCGCUCGAGGUGGCGCCGUCCGGGCUCGCCUUCUGCGACCGCGUCGUCGGCACCGGCGCCGCCGCCCAGGAGGGCCAGCUCAUCAGGGUCAGUGCCGUUCAGGGCUUCCAUGCGUUCGUUCGUUGAUUGAGUUCAUGCGAUGCCCAAACCAGUAGCGGCCUGCACGCCGGCUGACAAUCUCUGUUGCUCCGAUCGGUGCGUGCAGGCGCAUUACACGGGCAAGCUGGAGGACGGCACGGUGUUCGACAGCAGCUACAAGCGCGGGAAGCCGCUCACCUUCCGCGUCGGCGUCGGAGAGGUACUGUGCGAAUCAAACCAAGUCAAUGCUCCCACGCUAGUUCGUCAGAGUCGAAUUGUCACCUGCAGGAUUAGUCUGCAGUCGAUCUGCAGAAUUUGCAGAUCAUCACAGCACAGUAUCUCUUUCUUCCUGAAUAAUCCUGAUGAGAAUGUUGUUUUGUUUCUUCAGGUGAUUAAAGGGUGGGAUCAGGGCAUAGUAGGCGGCGAGGGGAUCCCGCCGAUGCUCGCAGGUCGUUCCUGAACCGAACAAACUGAACCCACACAAUGAACUCUUGUUGUUUCUCUGAACAAACUGAAUCCGAUGGAUGCGUGUGCGUUUGUUCAGGUGGUAAGCGGACGCUGAAGCUGCCGCCGGCGCUGGCCUACGGCGAGAAGGGGGCGGGGUGCAGAGGCUGGGAGCCCACCUCCUGCGUCAUCCCGCCCAACUCCACGCUCCUCUUCGACGUCGAGUACGUCGGCACAGCCUUCGGCUGAGCUAUCUCAAUUCUCAAAGCUCUGGGAGGCCUGAUUUGUAAAGUGUCGAGAGUGAUCGACCUGGCGCUCGUGGACUCGCUU
rnacentral:lncRNA from 1 species